AUUAACUUCUAAUUUAUUAAUUAGGUCCAUUGAACAAUCUAGCCACCUCUUGACUGCAUCCUAUUGGGUCCUAAUGUCCUAUUUUCAUCUCCAAAUUGUCACUGACUAUAUGUCUAAUUGUUAAGCUGGAUGGGCUAAAUGUGAUCUUACUCUUAUUUCGUACAAUUUAGCCUAUCUGUUUUAUCCAAAUUUAUCCUCUGAUUAUGAUGCUUUUUUUCUUUUUCUGUAACACUACACAUUUUGCUCCUUAUUUAUUUCUUUAUUUAUUCAUCUUUUAUCAAGACUCCUCAGUUUUGUCAAGCUCAGUGCCCAAGCAAGCUUCCAUCCACUUUGACCCAAGCUCCACCAACUUUGAUAACGCCUCAGCAAGGAGUCCAGUUUGCUUGAUGCACAUUUCAGGUCUCAUGUGUCUUUCGCCGCACCUCAUUGUCAAGUUGUUGUCUUUAGUUGUAGCCUCAGAGCCAACUCAUUCCUCACUCUCGGAUGAGUCCAUUUUCAACUGAGUCCAUUCUCAUCUUGUAAGUUCCUUCACUUUUUGUACUCUCCUCCGAGGAUGUCGUUUUCCUUCGGAGCGUUGUGCUCCCCCCAAGCACAAAUAUAGUCCUUCUUUGCUCAUGCAAAAGGUCAAAGGUGCCUCAGAGCCAAGCACCGUUUUCUUGUCGUUCUCAGCUGUCGGUGGAGUCUCGGGAUCGAGUUUCAGGGUCACUGCUGGAUACUG